rnacentral:rRNA from 1 species
GAUGAACGCUAGCGGCAGGCUUAAUACAUGCAAGUCGAGGGACAGCACAGGUAGCAAUACUGGGUGGUAACCGGCAAACGGGUGCGGAACACGUACACAACCUUCCUUUAAGUGGGGGAUAGCCCAGAGAAAUUUGGAUUAAUACCCCGUAAUAUAGUUGAAUGGCAUCAUUUGAUUAUUAUAGCUACGGCGCUUAAUGAUGGGUGUGCGGCUGAUUAGAUAGUUGGCGGGGUAACGGCCCACCAAGUCUACGAUCAGUAGCUGAUGUGAGAGCAUGACCAGCCACACGGGAACGGAGACACGGGCCCGAGUCAUACGGGAGGCAGCAGUAAGGAAUAUUGGUCAAUGGACGCAAGUCUGAACCAGCCAUGCCGCGUGAAGGAUUAAGGUCCUCUGGAUUGUAAACUUCUUUUAUUUGGGACGAAAAAGGGCCUUUCUAGGUCAACUGACGGUACCAGAUGAAUAAGCACCGGCUAACUCCGUGCCAGCAGCCGCCGUAACAC